UUCCGGUUGAUCCUGCCGGACCUGACUGCUAUCGGAUUGAUACUAAGCCAUGCGAGUCAUUGUAGCAAUACAAGGCAUACGGCUCAGUAACGCGUAGUCAACCUAACCUAUGGACGAGAAUAAUCUCGGGAAACUGAGCAUAAUUCUCGAUAGAUCAUAAUGCCUGGAAUGGUUUAUGGUUAAAAUGAUUCGUCGCCAUAGGAUGGGACUGCGACCUAUCAGCUUGUUGGUGAGGUAAUGGCCCACCAAGGCAAUUACAGGUACGGGCUCUGAGAGGAGAAGCCCGGAGAUGGGUACUGAGACAAGGACCCAGGCCCUAUGGGGCGCAGCAGGCGAGAAAACUUUGCAAUGUGCGAAAGCACGACAAGGUUAAUCCGAGUGAUUUCUGCUAAAGGAAUCUUUUACCAGUUCUAAAAAUACUGGCGAAUAAGGGGUGGGCAAGUUCUGGUGUCAGCCGCCGCGGUAAAACCAGCACCUCAAGUGGUCAGGAGGAUUAUUGGGCCUAAAGCAUCCGUAGCCGGCUCUGUAAGUUUUCGGUUAAAUCUAUAUGCUCAACAUAUAGGCUGCCGAAAAUACUGCAUAGCUAGGGAAUGGGAGAGGUAGACGGUACUCGGUAGGAAGGGGUAAAAUCCUUUGAUCUAUCGAUGACCACCUGUGGCGAAGGCGGUCUACCAGAACAUGUUCGACGGUGAGGGAUGAAAGCUGGGGGAGCAAACCGGAUUAGAUACCCGGGUAGUCCCAGCUGUAAACGAUGCAGACUCGAUAAUGCACUGGCACAUAGCCAGUGCAGUGUCGCAGGGAAGCCGUUAAGUCUGCCGCCUGGGAAGUACGUACGCAAGUAUGAAACUUAAAGGAAUUGGCGGGGGAGCACCACAAGGGGUGAAGCCUGCGGUUCAAUUGGAUUCAACGCCGG
rnacentral:rRNA from 1 species